rnacentral:rRNA from 1 species
GAUGAACGCUAGCUACAGGCUUAACACAUGCAAGUCGAGGGGCAGCAUGAAUAUUGGCUUGCCAAUAUUUGAUGGCGACCGGCGCACGGGUGAGUAACACGUAUCCAACCUUCCGGUUACUCGGGGAUAGGCUUUCGAAAGAAAGAUUAAUACCCGAUGUUGUGUAUCUUUCUCCUGAAAGAUACGCCAAAGGAUUCCGGUAACUGAUGGGGAUGCGUUCCAUUAGGCAGUUGGCGGGGUAACGGCCCACCAAACCUUCGAUGGAUAGGGGUUCUGAGAGGAAGGUCCCCCACAUUGGAACUGAGACACGGUCCAAACUCCUACGGGAGGCAGCAGUGAGGAAUAUUGGUCAAUGGACGGAAGUCUGAACCAGCCAAGUAGCGUGAAGGAUGACUGCCCUCUGGGUUGUAAACUUCUUUUAUACGGGAAUAACAUGAGGUACGCGUACCUUAUUGCAUGUACCGUUAUGAAUAAGCAUCGGCUAACUCCGUGCCAGCAGCCGCGGUAAUACGGAGGAUGCGAGCGUUAUCCGGAUUUAUUGGGUUUAAAGGGAGCGUAGGUGGGAUAUUAAGUCAGCUGUGAAAGUUUGGGGCUCAACCUUAAAAUUGCAGUUGAUACUGGUUUCCUUGAGUACGGUACAGGUGGGCGGAAUUCGUGGUGUAGCGGUGAAAUGCUUAGAUAUCACGAAGAACUCCGAUCGCGAAGGCAGCUCACCGGGCCGGAACUGACACUGAUGCUCGAAAGUGCGGGUAUCAAACAGGAUUAGAUACCCUGGUAGUCCGCACAGUAAACGAUGAAUACUCGCUGUUUGCGAUACACUGUAAGCGGCCAAGCGAAAGCGUUAAGUAUUCCACCUGGGGAGUACGCCGGCAACGGUGAAACUCAAAGGAAUUGACGGGGGCCCGCACAAGCGGAGGAACAUGUGGUUUAAUUCGAUGAUACGCGAGGAACCUUACCCGGGCUUAAAUUGCGCUGGCUUUUACCGGAAACGGUAUUUUCUUCGGACCAGCGUGAAGGUGCUGCAUGGUUGUCGUCAGCUCGUGCCGUGAGGUGUCGGCUUAAGUGCCAUAACGAGCGCAACCCUUAUCUUUAGUUACUAACAGUUUUGCUGAGGACUCUAAAGAGACUGCCGUCGUAAGAUGCGAGGAAGGUGGGGAUGACGUCAAAUCAGCACGGCCCUUACGUCCGGGGCUACACACGUGUUACAAUGGGGAGCACAGCAGGUUGCUACACGGCGACGUGAUGCCAAUCCGUAAAACUCCUCUCAGUUCGGAUCGAAGUCUGCAACCCGACUUCGUGAAGCUGGAUUCGCUAGUAAUCGCGCAUCAGCCACGGCGCGGUGAAUACGUUCCCGGGCCU